GUACUACUAUAUAUACACGGUACGGAUUCAUCUAGCAAGCAAAAGCAAGCGAUCAUGGCUUCUUUCGCAUCACCUCGCUCUCAGCUGCUCGGUGUCCUCCUCGUCACCGUCAUCACCUUCACGGCCGUCGUCGAUUCUGCCCGUGUGUCGUCGGCGCCGACGGCCUCCAAGCCGGUCGUCAAGGUAUAUCCAUCCUGCAGCAAGACGUUGAUGCCCAAGAGGUGCAGCGUCAUGCUAUCGGCCUUGUCCAAGAGCUUGGCCGAUAAUAAAGCGGCGAUUGCCGGGCCCCAGCUCGCCGCCGGCAAGUUCAAGGGCGACCCCUGCAUCUCGAGGUGCGCCAAGGUCCUCGACGCCACCACGUCCAAGGCCACCGCCGCCACGGAUGCGGGCGGUGGCGGAGAUGCGCUCUACCAGCUGAAGAACUACCUCGUCCCGCUGGUCAUCUUUGAUUUAUAUGAGAAGGCCCCUUGCGAGUGCAACUGCCCGGGGCCUUGCUCGCCCGACGAGGCCGCCGCCGUGAAGAAGCUGGGGGAGGCCACCCACGCCAUGCGCGCCAUCGUGGGCCUGAUCCACGGUAUGUCCAGCCAACUCACCGAUGAGGAGAAGAAAGCCAAGGUAGAGCCGAUGGAGAAGUCCGCGGACAGCGGCAUCCUCCACGUGUCCUGCGGGCUGACGAAAGAGCCUCAAAAGUGCGCCGACGAGCUGUCGGCGCUGGCCAAGACGAUGGAGGAGGCCAAACACGUGGUCUGGGAGCUGACGAGUUCCGACGCGGCGACUAAGCUCAGCUCGCCCAUCGCGGACUGCGAAGCUGCCAUGCGGGAGCUCGAGGAAAAGGUCUACUCGGCGGAGGAGAAGGCGGUCAACCUGGCGGAGAUACGCGGCGCCAUCCAUUCCUACGUCCAGGGCGAUGGGAAGCAGCCUCCGCGCUGCAAGUGCUCCUGCCCGCCGCCGCCGGAGAAGCCGUGCUCGGCUAACGAGACCGCCGUUGUCGACAGCCUCAAUGGCGUCUACGAUGCAUGGGUUGCCGUCGAAAAAUUCCUCACAGAAUUACUGCCUCCAAACUAAUUAAUUAUAUGGUGCAUCGCUAAUAAUACCCUAAAUGGCAAGCCUAGCAGCUGCAUGUUUCGACAGUUUCUUUUGAUAAUAACAUUUUUAAUAGUAUGUUUCUCAUUCCAUAAUUAAUGAUGUCCGCGAUCCGACACUUGCACUGUAGUUUAUGUGAGCUGAUUUCAUUUUGAUCAAUGAUAUUAUAUAUUUAUUAUUAAUGGUAUUAUUAAAGGUUUUUCUGUACGGUGAAACCAAAAACAAGCUAAGCUAACGACAUCUGAUUAUAUGUACGUGGUAGUAAUAAAUGAUAAUAUAAUUCAUCCUAACAAGUAGCAAGCAAGCAAACGAUCAUGGUUACCAUCAUCACCUUCACGGCCGUCGUCGACUCUGCCCCCAAGACGAUGAUCGAGGUAUAUCCGGAUAUACUGCCUAGCUUCAUGACGUAGGGGGUGUUUCCUAAACUUUACAUGUCACAUCGGAUGUUUGAUACUAACUAGGAGUAUUAAAUAUAGUCUAAUUACAAAACUAAUUGCACAGAUGGAGUCUAAUUUACGAGACGAAUCUAUUAAGCCUAAUUAGUCCAUGAUUUGAGAAUGUGGUGCUACAGUAACCAUUUGCUAAUAAUGGAUUAAUUAGACUUAAUAGAUUCGUCUCGCGAAUUAGUAUAGAGAUUCUGCAGUUAGUUUUAUAAUUAACUCAUAUUUAAUCCUCCUAAUUAGCGUCCGAACAUCCGAUGUAACCCUCCUAAAGUUUAGUACCUCAUAUUAAACACCCGCUUAGACCAUGUCGAAGAGCUUGGUUGAGACGAAAGCAGUAAUUGCCGGGCCCAGCUCGCCGCCGGCAAGUUCAAGAGCGCCCCCUGCAUCUCCAAGUGCGCCCAGGUCCUCGACGCCACCACGUCC
rnacentral:lncRNA from 1 species